UAAUAUUGACAUAUCCCGGAAGCUAAUGUACACCCCUGCAAAACAAAUACCAGUGACAUGGUCAGUAUAUAAGUUUGCACAUCGACAUAUACCACUGCAUAUUUACAGAAGCUUGACCACCAAACCGAUAACAUGAAGCUACUGGUCACUGUAAUCGUGUUUGUCUGCCUGAGUGAGUUAGUAGUUUGUCAGAGCGGUAAUGGUCUGCCUUUGUUAGUGGCCGGUGGUCUAUUAGGCUUUGCUGCGUCAAAAUCAGGUCUAUUUGGCGGACGUCGUGGGGGAUUCUACCCUCCUCCCUUUCCUGGAUAUGGCCAUAACCAAUUUGGUCCAGGGGGAUUUGGCUCUGGAUUUGGAUUUCACAGACCUUUUUAUGGAUAAAUAAACCCUCGCCGGUUGACGUUGAUGUAUCUCCGGAUUUUUAUUGCCGUCCCGCCAGACAAGGUAUACUACAGGAAUGACGCAGCACCAUACGUUGACACUACAUCAACUACAGACUGACACGUACCUCAUCUGUAACUCGUGAUCAUUGUCUGAUAAAAACAAAAACGUAAAUGCCAUGUAUUUAUUAUUAAAAUAUUGUUAUACAUCC